AACGAACGCUGGCGGCAUGCCUAACACAUGCAAGUCGAACGAAGCCUUCGGGCUUAGUGGCGCACGGGUGCGUAACGCGUGGGAAUCUGCCCUUGGGUUCGGAAUAACAGUUAGAAAUGACUGCUAAUACCGGAUGAUGUCUUCGGACCAAAGAUUUAUCGCCCAAGGAUGAGCCCGCGUAGGAUUAGGUAGUUGGUGGGGUAAAGGCCUACCAAGCCGACGAUCCUUAGCUGGUCUGAGAGGAUGACCAGCCACACUGGAACUGAGACACGGUCCAGACUCCUACGGGAGGCAGCAGUGGGGAAUAUUGCACAAUGGGGGAAACCCUGAUGCAGCCAUGCCGCGUGUGUGAAGAAGGCC
rnacentral:rRNA from 1 species